rnacentral:rRNA from 1 species
CCUACGGGGGGCUGCAGUGGGGAAUUUUGGACAAUGGGGGCAACCCUGAUCCAGCCAUGCCGCGUGAGUGAAGAAGGCCUUCGGGUUGUAAAGCUCUUUCGGCCGGGAAGAAAUCGCUCAAGCUAAUACCUUGGGUGGAUGACGGUACCGGAAGAAGAAGCACCGGCUAACUACGUGCCAGCAGCCGCGGUAAUACGUAGGGUGCGAGCGUUCAUCGGGCGUACUGGGGGGAAAGCGUACGCCGGCGGCGAAAUCACCGGGCUUAACCUGGGAACUGCGGUUGUGACUGUGGUGCUCGAGGGCGGCAGAGGGGGGUGGAAUUCCACGUGUAGCAGUGAAAUGCGUAGAGAUGUGGAGGAACACCGAUGGCGAAGGCAGCCCCCUGGGUCGACACUGACGCUCAUGCACGAAAGCGUGGGGAGCAAACAGGAUUAGAUACCCCAGUAGUC